rnacentral:rRNA from 1 species
UGGGGCGUACACACGUCAUACAAUGGCUGGUACAAAGGGUUGCCAACCCGCGAGGGGGAGCUAAUCCCAUAAAGCCAGUCGUAGUCCGGAUCGUAGUCUGCAACUCGACUACGUGAAGUCGGAAUCGCUAGUAAUCGUGGAUCAGAAUGUCACGGUGAAUACGUUCCCGGGUCUU